rnacentral:rRNA from 1 species
CCUACGGGAGGCAGCAGUGAGGAAUAUUGGUCAAUGGGCGGAAGCCUGAACCAGCCAAGUAGCGUGCAGGAUGACGGCCCUACGGGUUGUAAACUGCUUUUAUACGGGAAUAACGCGCCUUACGUGUAGGGCUUUGCAUGUACCGUAUGAAUAAGGACCGGCUAAUUCCGUGCCAGCAGCCGCGGUAAUACGGAAGGUCCGGGCGUUAUCCGGUUUUAUUGGGUUUAAAGGGAGCGUAGGCCGCAUGUCAAGCGUGCUGUGAAAGGUCCGGGCUCAACCCGGGCCUUGCAGCGCGAACUGGCGUGCGGGAGUCCGCGGAAAGCAGGCGGAAUUCGUCGUGUAGCGGUGAAAUGCUUAGAUAUGACGAAGAACCCCGAUUGCGAAGGCAGCUUGCUGCAGCGGAACUGACGCUGAUGCUCGAAAGCGCGGGUAUCGAACAGGAUUAGAUACCCUUGUAGUC